AGAUUGAACGCUGGCGGCAGGCCUAACACAUGCAAGUCGAGCGGUAGAGAGGUGCUUGCAUCUCUUGAGAGCGGCGGACGGGUGAGUAAUGCCUAGGAAUCUGCCUAGUGGUGGGGGAUAACGUUCGGAAACGGACGCUAAUACCGCAUACGUCCUACGGGAGAAAGCGGGGGACCUUCGGGCCUCGCGCCAUUAGAUGAGCCUAGGUCGGAUUAGCUAGUUGGUGAGGUAAUGGCUCACCAAGGCGACGAUCCGUAACUGGUCUGAGAGGAUGAUCAGUCACACUGGAACUGAGACACGGUCCAGACUCCUACGGGAGCAGCAGUGGGAAUAUUGGACAAUGGGCGAAAGCCUGAUCCAGCCAUGCCGCGUGUGUGAAGAAGGUC
rnacentral:rRNA from 1 species